rnacentral:rRNA from 1 species
UUGACUGUGCUAAGGUAGCAUAAUAAAUUGGCUUUUAAUUGAAGUCGGGAAUGAAAGGGUGUUUGGAGUUAUUCUGUCUUAUUUUUAUUUUUUAAAAAUUACUAAUGAGGUGAAAAUUCCUCAAUGUUUUACGAUAGACGAGAAGACCCUAAGAAUUAUUACAACUAUUAAAUUGAAUUAAUAAAAGUUUUUGUUGGGGCAACAGCUUUGAAUAACCAAAGUUAAAAUUUAUUAUAAAAAGAUUAUAUUAAAAACGGAUUUAAUUACCUUAGGGAUAACAGCAUAAUUAAAUUUUAGAUUGUGACCUCGAUGAUGGAUUAAGGCCU